rnacentral:rRNA from 1 species
AGCGAACGCUGGCGGCAGGCCUAACACAUGCAAGUCGAACGAACCCUUCGGGGUUAGUGGCGGACGGGUGAGUAACACGUGGGAACGUGCCUUUAGGUUCGGAAUAACUCAGGGAAACUUGUGCUAAUACCGAAUGUGCCCUUCGGGGGAAAGAUUUACUGCCGAAGGAUCGGCCCGCGUCUGAUUAGCUAGUUGGUGGGGUAACGGCCUACCAAGGCGACGAUCAGUAGCUGGUCUGAGAGGAUGAUCAGCCACAUUGGGACUGAGACACGGCCCAAACUCCUACGGGAGGCAGCAGUGGGGAAUCUUGCGCAAUGGGCGAAAGCCUGACGCAGCCAUGCCGCGUGAAUGAUGAAGGUCUUAGGAUUGUAAAAUUCUUUCACCGGGGACGAUAAUGACGGUACCCGGAGAAGAAGCCCCGGCUAACUUCGUGCCAGCCGCCGCCGUAAAAC